CGAAAGACGUUAAAAAGGAGUAGUAAUAUCCGGAGAUGUAGUUAGAGAGAUAGCGGUUGGUGUAAGCUAUCCUUCUCCCGUAUGAACUCGCCUUUUAGUUGCGAACCUGAACAUAAGAGUAAGGUUCGACGUAUUCCGCGUUAAGGAGAAGAGCGAGUGAAGACAAUUCACUAACUUGGGUGGUACCGCGGGUGGAAGACCUCUCGUCCCAGAU
rnacentral:ncRNA from 1 species